AAUGGAUAGUUAUAUGGAUGGGAAGGGAAUGGAGGGUUAUGGUCUGAGCGCAGGUAUAUGGGACUAGGGGAGAUUAUGUGUUCGGCACGGACUAGAAGGGUCGAGAUGGCCUGUUUCCGUGCUGUAAUUGUUAUAUGGUUAUAUGGUUAUAGAUCACACUGACAAAAACAAAGGAUCUUAGUUAUCCAAUGAGCAGCUCAAAUGCAACACCAGAAAGUUACGGCAGUUUUAGCCUUCCCAGCUUGCUGGGGCCUCUGAUUCACAUGUAUCUCUGUCAAGAAAUGCACAACAUUCGAUGAACUGAUUAAAUUACCACCAGUGCCGUGAGGAAUCAUUAUUACCAUUGUGAUUGGCAGAUCUCUUAUUACUUGUACAUAAACACUUAUACAUUUCAGUCCCAUCCGACGCUCCAACAUUUCAGCUGCAGCUUUCUAUGCUCUUUCACUCGGACAUAAUUAUUUCACUGAAGCAAGUGAAAGACUAAAAUAGUUUCCUAAAAAUAGAAAAUAGGUUUUUAGAUUGUAUCUGACGUAUACACUGUAAGUACACCCUAAAAUUGGCAGAAUUCAACCUCUCAUUAAAAAAAAAAAUCUUGGCUGUUUUCUUGCUCAUUGUUGACUCGGAAUUGUGGAUUUCAGGUUAAAUUUCAACUUGCAGCCGGGCACAUCACACUGUAACGUGGACUUCUUUCCUUAUAUGAUCAGAAAGAAAAGGGCACAUUUUGUUAGGUGACAUCACCUCUAAGGAAUGGAGUUCUUGAUUCAGGCUUUUUGAGGACAAGAUUUCCAUACGAAUUGAAGAUUAUAGGAAUGAUUACAUCAUCAAGGGUGAGUGACGCAAUACCAAUGAUUUUGUUCCUUUUGAACCUUUUAAAUUCAAGCCUGAAAAAAGACUGACAAAAUUCAUUA